UACGUAGGGGGCAAGCGUUGUCCGGAUUUAUUGGGCGUAAAGAGCGUGUAGGCGGCUCGAUUAGUCCGCUGUAAAAGUCCAGGGCUCAACCCUGGGAUGCCGGUGGAAACUGUCGGGCUAGAGUCCGGGAGAGGCGAGUGGAAUUCCUGGUGUAGCGGUGAAAUGCGCAGAUAUCAGGAAGAACACCCGUGGCUAAGGCGGCUCUCUAGUACGGUACUGACGCUGAGACGCGAAAGCGUGGGGAGCGAACAGG
rnacentral:rRNA from 1 species